rnacentral:rRNA from 1 species
AUUGAACGCUGGCGGCAGGCUUAACACAUGCAAGUCGAGCGGAGUGAUGGUGCUUGCACUAUCACUUAGCGGCGGACGGGUGAGUAAUGCUUAGGAAUCUGCCUAUUAGUGGGGGACAACAUCUCGAAAGGGAUGCUAAUACCGCAUACGUCCUACGGGAGAAAGCAGGGGAUCACUUGUGACCUUGCGCUAAUAGAUGAGCCUCAGUCGGAUUAGCUAGUUGGUGGGGUAAAGGCCUACCAAGGCGACGAUCUGUAGCGGGUCUGAGAGGAUGCUCCGCCACACUGGGACUGAGACACGGCCCAGACUCCUACGGGAGGUAGCAGUGGGGAAUAUUGGACAAUGGGGGGAACCCUGAUCCAGCCAUGCCGCGUGUGUGAAGAAGGCCUUAUGGUUGUAAAGCACUUUAAGCGAGGAGGAGGCUCUUUUGGUUAAUACCCAAGAUGAGUGGACGUUACUCGCAGAAUAAGCACCGGCUAACUCUGUGCCAGCCGCCGCGGUAA